rnacentral:rRNA from 1 species
AGUUGCGCCCCAAGCCUUCUGGCCGAGGGCACGUCUGCCUGGGUGUCACAAAUCGUCGUCCCCCCAUCCUCUCGAGGAUAUGGGACGGAAGCUGAUCUCCCGUGUGUUACCGCACGCGGUUGGCCAAAAUCCGAGCUAAGGACGUCAGGAGCGUCUUGACAUGCGGUGGUGAAUUUAAUUCUCGUCAUAUAGUCAGACGUUCCGGUCCAAAAGCUCUUGAUGACCCAAAGUCCUCAACGCGACCCCAGGUCAGGCGGGAUCACCCGCUGAGUUUAAGCAUAUCAAUAAGCGGAGGAAAAGAAACUAACAARGAUUCCCUUAGUAACGGCGAGCGAACCGGGAAGAGCCCAGCUUGAAAAUCGGACGUCUUCGGCGUUCGAAUUGUAGUCUGA